AUGGAAGAAAAUGGAUUGAAGCCAAAUUACAAAGGCCCUGGUUGUUAUACUGAGGACUUCAGCCUUUAUUCUGGAUCAGUGGACUCCAGGUCUCACGGAAUGCUGAAUUUUUCGAGCACUCACCACAAGGUCUCAAGCCCCCGAGGACUACCAGGCAAAUUUCCAACAAAGCUGGGUUCACAACUGAGAAUUCCCAGUGUAUGGCACCACAAGGAAAAUAGCUGCAUUUGGAUAGUGACAUGGAGUGACUUAGAACCAGAACAGGCCUUAGGGAUCAGCUGGUCAUUUGACAUGUAA
rnacentral:lncRNA from 1 species